rnacentral:rRNA from 1 species
UACGGGGGGAGCAAGCGUUGUUCGGAUUUACUGGGCGUAAAGGGCGCGUAGGCGGCCACCGCAAGUCGACUGUGAAAUCUCCGGGCUUAACCCGGAAAGGUCAGCCGAUACUGCGGGGCUAGAGUGCAGGAAGGGGCAACUGGAAUUCUCGGUGUAGCGGUGAAAAUGCGUAGAUAUCGAGAGGAACACCUGCGGCGAAGGCGGGUUGCUGGGCUGACACUGACGCUGAGGCGCGAAAGCUAGGGGAGCAAACAGG